AGCAACCCGCUAGGGUCUUUUUCCACACCGUGGAAGCUUUGUUCUUUUGCUUUUUGCAAUAAAUCUUACUGCUGGUCACUCUUUGGGUCCACACUGCCUUUAUGAGCUGUAACACUCACCGCGAAGGUCUGCAGCUUCACUCCUGAAGCCAGUGAGACCACGAGCCCACUGGGAGGAAUGAACAACUCCAGAAACGCCGCCUUAAGAGCUGUAACACUCACCAUGAAGGUCUGCAGCUUCACUCCUGAGCCAGCGAGACCACGAACCCACCAGAAGGAAGAAACUCCGAACACAUCUGAACAUCAGAAGGAACAAACUCCGGACACGCUGCCUUUAAGAACUGUAACACUCACUGUGAGGGUCCACGGCUUCAUUCUUGAAGUCAGUGAGACCAAGAACCUACCAAUUCUGGACACAGUGAGACCAAGAACCCACCAAUUCCGGACACAACACUGAAAAAGAGAAGUGAAAGAGGACACCCUUACCUUGUUUCUGAGCUGAGAAAGCUUCUUGUUUCUCACCAUUAAUAGGUGUUAGCUAUAGGGUUUUGUUAAUGUUCUUUAUCAAAUAGAGGAAGUUCUCUUCUAGUCCUAGUUUGGUGAGAGUUUUUAUCAUAAAUGGGUAUCGGACUUAGUCAAUUUUUUUUUGUAUCUAUUGAUGUAAUCUUGUGAUUUUUCUUUCUCUGUUGAUGUGAUGGAUUAUAGUGAUUGAGUUUUUGAAUGUUGAACCAGGCUUGCAUACCUUGGGUAAUUCCAUUUGGUCACGGUAUAUAAUUCUUUUGUUUUGUUUUGUUUUUGAGACGAAGUCUCGCUCUGUCACCCAAGCUGGAGUGCAGUGGCGUGAUCCCAGCUCACAGCAACCUCCACCUCCCAGGUUCCAGCGAUUCUCCUGCCUCAGCCUCUGGAGUAGCUGGGACUACAGGUGCGUGCCACCAUGCCCAGCUAAUUUUUGUAUUUUUAGUAGAGACA
rnacentral:lncRNA from 1 species